GCCGCGUGAGUGAAGAAGGUUUUCGGAUCGUAAAACUCUGUUGUUAGGGAAGAACAAGUCAGGUAGUAACUGACCUGACCUUGACGGUACCUAACCAGAAAGCCACGGCUAACUACGUGCCAGCAGCCGCGGUAAUACGUAGGUGGCAAGCGUUGUCCGGAUUUAUUGGGCGUAAAGCGCUCGCAGGCGGUCUUUUAAGUCUGAUGUGAAAGCCCACGGCUUAACCGUGGAGGGUCAUUGGAAACUGGAGGACUUGAGUGCAGAAGAGGAGAGUGGAAUUCCAUGUGUAGCGGUGAAAUGCGUAGAGAUAUGGAGGAACACCAGUGGCGAAGGCGACUCUCUGGUCUGUAACUGACGCUGAGGAGCGAAAGCGUGGGUAGCGAACAGGAUUAGAUACCCUGGUAGUCCACGCCGUAAACGAUGAGUGCUAGGUGUUAGGGGGUUUCCGCCCCUUAGUGCUGAAGUUAACGCAUUAAGCACUCCGCCUGGGGAGUACGGCCGCAAGGCUGAA
rnacentral:rRNA from 1 species